GGAGUGAUGGUGUAGUUGGUUAUAAUCACGUCCGUCCAACACAAAGUGUACACAGACGGUCCUUAGUUCGAACCUGGGUCGCUUCA